GAAUGCUUGAAACCACUGUACCAUGUAAAGUCAUUAGAAUUUCCGGCAUAAAACCAUAAAGGAGGAAAAAGAAAAGAGAAGAAGAGGAAAAGGACUUUAUAAAUCAUAGUAUUAAGAAGAUUAUGCAAUUAUUGCCAUUUCAUCUCAUCACCAACACUGCCAUAAAUAGGUCCUAACAGAAAUUUUGCAUAUUCUCAUGCCAGUCAUGUAUGCAUGGCCUUGGCUAAUAAGACAAGAAUUCUCUAUAAAGCUGCAUACCAUCGUCAACUUCUGUCCUUAUUC
rnacentral:misc_RNA from 1 species